rnacentral:lncRNA from 1 species
CAUAGAGUUGGAGGUGUAGUCUCAUGGAGGUUCAAAGAAUCUGUUAGUCUGCACAUAUUUUUGCUUUAAUCAUGGACUGUCUCAGUUUCUGAGGGCCCAGAAUGCUGCUGCCAAUGGCUGAGGCACAGGAGGGUGGAAUUUUCAGUCCCGGUACUCUGGGUUUGGUUUUCAACUCUGACUGAGGUUCUGUGCUGCUGUUAGAAUCUACCAUUACCUUUUAAAAUUUCAUUUACUUAAAAAUGCAUGCAGCAAAAUUCUGUCUUUCUGGUGCAAAACUCGAUGACUUAAAACAGGGUUCAUGUAUUUUUGCUCAUAGGUCAGGAGCCUAGCUGCAAUGGCCAGUGUCAUGUGAAUUCAUCUAGGGGAACAAGAAAUCUCUCUUCAUGAAGAGGCAACAGCACAUGACCUCUUUAGGAAGAAAAGUUCAAAAGGUCCAAAUGGAAGCAGAAGUCCAAUAUUCUGCAGGAAGAAAUGAAGAACUCCAAAAACAAUAAGUAUGUGGGUAAACAUUCAACUUAUUUUUUCUAUUUUUUAAAAUGAUAAUUGACCAUAAAAAUACAAUUGUCUAUUUCAAGCAAAAUAAGCAAUGUAUUUUGGGGCUUACAACAUAUAUAAUAACAACAAUAUGAAGAUGGGUUUACAAUAGCCAAGACACGGAAGCCUCUUAAAUGUCCAUCACCAGAGGAAUGGACAAAGGUAUGGUACAUAUAUACAGUGGAAUACUACUCAGCCAUUAAAAAGAAUGAGAUAAUGCCGUCUGCAGCAACAUGGAUGGACCUAGAGAGUGUCAUGCUGAGUGAAGUAAGUCAGAACAGGAGAAAUAUCUUUUGACAUUCCUUAUAUAUAAAAUCUAAAAAGAAAUAAUACAAAUAAACUUAGUUACAAAACAAAACAUACUC